AUGCUGUUACUGGAAAUGAGAGGGUUUCUUCAAAGGCAAUAUCCUGGUGUGCCCUUUACAAUCUGUGUAAAAAAUUCUGGUAACCUGGGAUGUUUUCUUAAAGAACUCCUGACAGAUAGCGAAGUCAUCCAUUGUAAUUACGACUCCAUGCUGGAUGUUAUAAGUUACCGGUAGCAUUGACUAAUUCCACUUACCUACGAACCAAGUUUUAAGUGCAUGUGCCACUCUCCAAGCCAGUGGGUAGCAAAGGACAGCCUGCAGGCCGAAUGCUGGCAGUUUUAUAAAUAAAGUUUUAUUAGGACUCCCUUCAUUAGUUUAUAUAUUCCAAGACUGCUUUUAUGCUACAGUGACAGAGUUGAGUAGUUGAGACAGAGACUGGCCCAGAAAGCCUAAAAUAGAGAAAAAGCUAACCUACUCCUGAUCCAGGUUAAUUAGUCAUUCUCAGCUAAACUGGUUUAUUUCCACAAAGAGGUGAAUUCCAACAAUAUCUUUCUUUUUUGAAAUGCAAACAUGGAAAAAAAUGUAAAAUAAUCAGGUUACUAAGCAAAUGCUCAAUAAUUUCUGAACUAUUUUAAUGUUGUCGGUCAAUGCCUCACGGCUGACAUUGUUCACCCUGGACAAGGGCGGUUCUAGGCAGCCGUGGAGACUACAUAAGCAUCUCCCAAGAACACCAACGAUGAGACCUUCUAACCACAGCGCCCCAGAGGGUGCACGCUAUCACUCUGUCUCGAUAUUAAAGUAAGAUAAGAGGCAGAGAAUACCCUAAAAAGUACUUGUUCUAUUCAGAGUAAGACAUAAUAGAUGUGGUGUUAGACCCACGGUUUGGGAAAAUUACAAGCCCUAAGGAAUAGCUGCUAAUUAAUAGACUGUAAUGUUAUUAAGGAAAGCUAAAGUGUACACUUUUAAAGAAAACAAAACAGAAACGUUAUUUGGAACUACUCAUGUUAUAUUUGGGUUAUAGCUAUAAAAUAUUAAGAAAAGGAAAUACAACAUAAUUCCUUCCUAAAUGUGGCACCAGAAGGUAGAAUUAACACAUAAUAUUUUUAUACUUGAUGAUACAUUUCAAGUAUUUACUUGUUGGAUAUACUUACAAUGUUUGAGGUACAUGAUCUGACCCAUGCUAACCCAAGUGCAUGAAAUAACUAUUUAAAUGCUGUGUGAGUUCUAACAUAGUUGUGUGUUGGACACACAUAUUGAAUAGGCCCAUUGAGUGGGAUUUCACCGAAACUCAACUUUAUUUUUGUCUCCCCAAUGCCCUUUGAAACUGUUCAGUGAAUGAAGCUUUGCCCCUGCACUAGAUAAAAACUCAGCAGGUCUCCUUUCUCUUCAUUCUAAGGUGAUAGACACUGCCAUAGUCACUUUAACAAAAUCCAAUCAGAUUUCGAAUUAAUUAGAGUCCAGGUCGGGACAUUAACCAAUACUUCAGUCUCCGCUCAAACUUCCACAUGUACCUUAUGUCCACAGAGUCCCUACUAAGGACAGGUA
rnacentral:lncRNA from 1 species